CGCCGAGGGCGCCGCACCGGCGGAGCUGCUGGCCUCGCGGGUCAGCGAGUCGGCGCGCGCGGCCCUGCGGAUCGCGUGCGCGCUCGGCGGC
rnacentral:tRNA from 1 species